rnacentral:rRNA from 1 species
UGCCAGACUCCUACGGGAGGCAGCAGUGGGGAAUAUUGCACAAUGGGGGAAACCCUGAUGCAGCAACGCCGCGUGAGUGAAGAAGUAUUUCGGUAUGUAAAGCUCUAUCAGCAGGGAAGAAGAUGACGGUACCUGAUUAAGAAGCCCCGGCUAACUACGUGCCAGCAGCCGCGGUAAUACGUAGGGGGCAAGCGUUAUCCGGAUUUACUGGGUGUAAAGGGAGCGUAGACGGCGAUGCAAGCCAGAUGUGAAAGCCCGGGGCUCAACCCCGGGACUGCAUUUGGAACUGUGUGGCUGGAGUGUCGGAGAGGCAGGCGGAAUUCCUAGUGUAGCGGUGAAAUGCGUAGAUAUUAGGAGGAACACCAGUGGCGAAGGCGGCCUGCUGGACGAUGACUGACGUUGAGGCUCGAAAGCGUGGGGAGCAAACAGGAUUAGAUACCCGAGUAC